UACGUAGGGUGCAAGCGUUGUCCGGAAUUAUUGGGCGUAAAGAGCUCGUAGGCGGUUUGUCGCGUCUGCUGUGAAAGCUCGGGGCUUAACCCCGGGCCUGCAGUGGGUACGGGCAGACUAGAGUGCGGUAGGGGAGACUGGAAUUCCUGGUGUAGCGGUGAAAUGCGCAGAUAUCAGGAGGAACACCGGUGGCGAAGGCGGGUCUCUGGGCCGUAACUGACGCUGAGGAGCGAAAGCGUGGGGAGCGAACAGG
rnacentral:rRNA from 1 species